GACGGAGGGGGCUAGCGUUGUUCGGAAUUAUUGGGCGUAAAGGGUGCGUAGGCGGCGCGGUAAGUCGGGUGUGAAAUCUUGGAGCUUAACUCCGAAACUGCAUUCGAUACUGCCGUGCUUGAGGACUGGAGAGGAGACUGGAAUUUACGGUGUAGCGGUGAAAUGCGUAGAUAUCGUAAGGAAGACCAGUGGCGAAGGCGGGUCUCUGGACAGUUCCUGACGCUGAGGCACGAAGGCCAGGGGAGCAAACGGG
rnacentral:rRNA from 1 species